GUUUUUUAAAAUAAAACCUCACGAGAUGAUGGAGCCAGUCGAUCUAAAGAGAAACGUUCUCUAGCAUAUUUUAUAUACUUUGCAAUAAUUAACAAGAUGGUGAGAACUUAAUUUUCUUGAUGGUGUGAGAUUCAUCUUAAUAGAGGUUUAAUAAUGAGAGAGAGAGAGAGAGAGAGAGAGAGAGAGAGACAGAGGAAUAAAAUGCAGGUACCUCAGAUGUUGCCGGAAGCUCAUCGAUAAAAUGCACACAACCAGUCGGACACCGCAAGGUUUUCAAACGAAGGCAGCAGUCCCAAAUCCCAAGGCCAAAAUCCCGAAAAAAUGGCCAAAAUAUGAAAGCGUUUUUUGAUUUACAUGAAAUUUGAUAUCCUGGAGUUUUGGAGGUCGCUAAUUACAAAUCUGAAAUCAAAAUUGCAAAAAACAAAAUGGCGGAUUUAAUAUAGCGGAUACAUGUAUUUUAAAUAUAUUUAAUGUAGUCAAAAUUUGAUAUCCUGGGAUUUUUGAGUACUGUACAAUCGUAUAAUAACAAAAGCUCCACAAACAGAACGACUAUCUGAAUGCCGCGGCAUGAUCUGUUUAUUCCAUGGACUUAGAAAUAGAGGGACGAUGCAUAACUUACAAGGAUGAGCCACGUUCGCGGCCGGGGGGACCGCCAUGUUGGUUUCAAAGAUUGCACACAUUAAAACAUGUACAGUGCAUGUGUGAAAUAAACAGUACAGAAUAAUAAAGUUUAAAAUUUUGUUAA